ACAGCGCUGGCACGAGGGUGGGACUCCAGUGCUCUAAACACUGCACCAUCGUGGCUGGCAACUGAGGAUUUACUUACUGAUUCUUCAAGAACUAAAAUUAAUUAUCAGCUGUGAACAGGUAAUUGACAGGAUUUUUUUUUUUUUUUUUAUCACAAUCAACGAUGCAAAAUAUAUGUAUUGAAAUAAGUCUUUACCUUUACUUAUUCAGUAAUUCUUUACGGUACAGGCACACUCUUUACAGAGACCAAGUUGCCAAAUUUACAUUAUGCCUACCAUCACCGUGACCUUUUCUCUUCAUUUGUAGCAUUACAGUGUCUGCAGAUUAUUUCUUGGGAAACUUUUUAGUUGAUGACAAUCAAGAAUUCAGUAUAAAAAAAAGAAGAAGAAGAAAAAGAAACAAAGAAAGAAAGUGUGCAGAAUGGUAACCUUGAUGUAGCUGAAAUACUGUUCAUAUAUAACAAAUAUGUUCAUAUAUAGCAAAAUGAAAAUAAAGGA